UUCAUUAUGAAUUUGAAUUUAAAAUGUUACAAUAAUAAUUUACAUAUAAAAUGGCAACUGCACCCAUAACAGAUAAUUCUCCAAAAUCCUUAUUAAAACUCGUGGAAGAUAAAAAUGACAAAUCAGAAAAAAAAUUAACCAUUCUUGAAUCACAUGGAUAUACUCUUGGUAAAACAAUAGGUGCCGGUUCAUAUGCUACUGUAAAAAUAGCAAAAUCUGAUCGACAUGAUUGUCAAGUAGCAGUAAAAAUUGUUUCAAAAUUUCAAGCACCUGGUGAUUACUUAAAAAAAUUUUUGCCCCGUGAAAUUGAAGUUGUCAAAGGUUUAAAACACCCAAAUUUAAUUCGUUUUCUUCAAGCGAUCGAAACAACUCAUCGCGUUUAUAUCAUUAUGGAAUAUGCUCAAUGCGGUAGUUUAUUGGACAUAAUAAGACGUGAUACAUUUAUCGAUGAAUUUCGUAGUCGUCGAUGGUUUCGACAAUUAUUAGAGGCUAUUGAUUACUGUCAUGGACGUGGUGUAGUACAUAGAGACAUCAAAUGUGAAAAUCUUUUGAUGGAUCAGAAUUUUAAUAUUAAGUUAUCUGAUUUUGGAUUUGCACGUGGACAAAUGAAAGCAAAAAAUGGAAUUAAUCCAUUAAGUGAAACUUUCUGUGGCAGUUAUGCUUAUGCAUCACCAGAAAUAUUAAAAGGUGUUCCAUAUUUACCUCAACUAUCUGAUGUAUGGUCCAUGGGCGUAGUUCUCUAUGCAAUGGUUUAUGGUCGACUACCGUUUGAUGAUACAAAUUACAGUCAACUACUAAAGGUACCCAGCAAGUACAAAAUAAAGUUGUAUUUCCUAAAGAACCAAAUGUAUCUCAAGCUUGUCGUUCACUUAUCUCACGAAUACUUGUUCCACAACGAAUAAGAAUGAAUAUUGAUAAUAUAAGAAAUGAUACGUGGCUUGCUGAAUCUCUUGUUACAGUUGAAACCUCCACUACCGAUAUUCCAAUGGAUACUUCUACAAUACGAAACGUAAAAAAAAUAACAAAUGAAAGGAACAAAGAAACAAAAAAUAAUACCACUGAUAUUGGAGCACAAAUUAUUGAUAAACGUCUAACAUAAACAUUCCAGAUAAAAACCAUACAUAU